UUUCUUUCCCUUGGUCUCUUGUUUGAUUACAAUGAUUCUUUUGUGAAAUUUGUAGUGGGGAGUAUUAUUUUAUUUAAUUGAUGGUCGACAUUUAAUGAGAACGAAUGAUUGUAUCUGCUUCUUUGGGCAUGGGUAUUCUCCAUAACUGGUUUGUUGUGCGAGUCUGAAUAUGCUUGUAUCAGCUUCUGUAUUAAUUUGAGUAUGGGGAUUUCGACGAGUUUUGGGGGAGGAUUUCUUUAACUGGAGUUAUGAGUUUCAUUCCCAAAAUCGUUGUUUUCGUAGAAAACUUGGCUUUGAAGGCUUUAGGGAUAGGGUCAUCGAAAACACUUUUGCCGAAGAGCAGGUAGGAUUUUGAAUCAUGAUAAUGUUCCGUUACAUUUAUUUUGAAUUGGUUUAUCAUUGAUGGUGCCUAUUGGUUCUUAAAGUCCUAUGCAAGUUUUGUCCCUUAUUUAGUAUUUGAGUUGACGUGUUAUUAUUAUUAUCUUUAUUACCAUUUUAAUCUUGGUGUGGUUUGAGCCUGCAUUUGUUGUUAUAAAUGGGUGAAUGUUUGUUGUGAUGUAAUGAGGAAAGGUUAGAUUGCUGGGUUGGUUUGUUGUAUUUAGAAAUGGGAAUGGAUGCAAGAUGUUUGAUAAAAUGCUCAAAUGAGCUGAUUUGGUUAGAUUGAUGUGUAAAAAACCACUUGACACCUGACAGGCUCUAAGUGCUCCUCUUGAUGAAAAGAAUGGUGGAAUUUCUUUAAUAUUUAUCGAUGCUUAUCAGCUGGAAACUAACUUUAAUAAACACCUUGCCAGUUAAGGAAACUGACACUUGCAUUCUUCUAUUAGUGUAUUUAUGCUCAAGUCAGAUUGCAGUUUGUGUUUAUUAAAAAUUUAUGGGUUUUGUUUUUUUGGUUUGCAUGUCAUUAUUUUUUUUUUUUUUUCAUUGGUAGGAAAAUUUUUCUUACUGAAAUUGUUGAGUUGAUAUUUAUUUUGAUGUAGCUAAGUUCUUGAUCAGUCCUAGACCUUGAGUAUACUAAACCAAACCAACCUAUUUGCAAGACUUAAAAAAAGAGACUAUCUAAAAAACUUUGACAGUUUUUUCUCCAGUUUAAUGCAUUUGUGUUUGCAUUGUUUGAAUCUAUGCCUAAUUAUAAUAUACCAAUUAGAAUGUAAAAGGAAAAAAAUAGAUGGAUUUGGUAAAUAAUAUUGUUGAUAAUAGUACUGUGUUUGUUUUACAUUGAUUUGAAUUCUAAUUACCCAUGAGUUGCUUUAUGCCUCAAUUCUGAAAAACAACAUCAAUGCUGUUGUUUUGUACUCUGUUUUUUGUUAUAGGUUUUUCUAAUAAGUUUUAUGAAUUUCUACAUAAAUAUGUUUAGAUGUCUCAUAUCAUAAUUUUUGUAUGAACUGAAGCAUCUAUACAACUUUUUAUACUCAAGUCAGACUGUAGUUUGUGUUUAUUAAAAAUUUAUGGGUUUUAUUUUUUUGGUUUGCAUGUCAUUAUUAUUAUUAUAUUUUUCAUUGGUAGGCAAAUUUUUCUAAACAUGUCAGUCCUAGACUUUGAGUAUACCAAACCAAACCAACCUAUUUGCAAGACUUAAAAAAAGAGACUAUCUAAAAAACUUUUGACAGUUUUUUCUCUAGUUUAAUGCAUUUGUGUUUGCAUUGUUUGAAUCUAUUCCUAAUUAUAAUAUACCAAUUAGAAUGUAAAAGCAAAAAAAUAGGUGGAUUUGGUAAAUAAUAUUGUUGAUAAUAGUACUGUGUUUGUUUUAUAUUGAUUUCAAUUCUAAUUACCCAUGAGUUGCUUUAUGUCUCAAUUUUGAAAAACAACAUCAAUGCUGUUGUUUUGUACUCUGUUUUUUGUUAUAGGUUUUUCUAGUAAGUUUUAUGAAUUUCAUGAAACUUAGAGAUUGAUGUAAUGCAUAGAUAGGUUAUAUAUUAAUAUAAACACAGAAAAGGCAGUAAAACUGACCUUUUUAAUAUACCUUCAAACCUUUGCACCACUGCACUGCUUCACCACACCUAAUUUGAGAGAGAGAGAGAGAGAGAGAGAGAGAGAGAGAGAGAGAGAGCAUGGAUAAGUUUUCUGAAUUGAGUUUUGUGAUAGACUUAUACUAUAAACACACAAAAGAAAGUUAGACUCACUUUUCAAUCUUCCUUCAAACCAAGGAAAUCGUAGCACCAAUGCACUGAAAGUAAUAGAAGGUAUCGGUCACUUUCAAAAUGUUAGCACCAUUCCACUUAAAGUAAUAUAAGGGUUUUCUUAAACCCCUUUCAACGCCUUUCCAAUUAACACAUAAAAAAAAUAAUAAAUAAAUAAAAAAUUCAUUUGUCUUCCAUUUUCUCAAAUUUUCCUCUUUAUGAUUUUAACGAUUUAACUGAAUCAUUACCUUUUUAUUUUGGAAAACACUACUUCCAUGUAAGAUUUCAACUGAAUCAUUACCUUUUUAUUUGCUAUAAUUUUAAUGUAUUUUAUAAAUAUAGACAUAAAAAUUCUACAAAUAUUUGGAUUGUUAGAUUAUGAAGAUAUUAAAGUUUACAGUUAUGUAAAAUUGAAACUAAAACAAUAAUUUCUUUGAGAUUAAUACAAUAAUAAUCAUUAAAAUUAAAUUCUAGCUUGCAAAUAAUAAUAACUAUAAAUAUAAAUAAUUUUUUUUUUCCUGAUAUUUAAAAGAGAUAAAAAAAAGUGUGUCAAAAAUUAUGAUAAUUAAAAUAAAAAUGUAGAAGACACAAAACAUAAAUGUGGUGUCGUAAGAACCAUUGCAGAACUUAGUUGGCUGUAGAUGCAUUGAUGUUGUUAAUUAUAAGUAGUCAUGAAACACCAGCUUGAUUGACAUGUGUUGAGGAUGAGCUUAGCGAGAGGGUGAAAUGGUGGCAAGUGGCAAGUCAGUUUGGCAACUUCUGCAUGUACUACUAAUUCUAUAUUUUCUAGUUAUCUUCUAAGUCAGACAAACUGAAUUUCGAACUCGAUCUAAUUACAUGUCCUAAUGAGUCAUUCUGCCAAAGCUGUACAAAGUAACUAUUUGAUGCCAGAAAGUUCUGUCCAUUCUACCUAAGGAUGCUCGAAUGAGGCGGUGGGCCAUUAAGAAAACAAUAAAAUAUUAUAUGAAAUUUGAGUAAAACUAAAUAGGUGUAAAGUUAUAAAUUUGUCGUUUUCAAGGUGCUUUACAGCUUGCAUGAUGGUGAUAUCUUGGCAGGAUAGUUUUUCUCAAAUCAGUUUUACGCUCACAUAAAUUUCUCUCUUCUUCAAUUCUGAUUUCCCUUUCUCUCCCUCCCCACCUCUCUAUCGAUCUCUCUCUCUCUCAAACAACUUCAUCUUCUGUCCAGAUUUCUUUCUUUGUCCCUAUAUUUCAAUGAUCUCGAUGGCACUGUAUUUCUAUCUCUAAACCCAUUUUCGGACCUCCAUUUUUCAUAUUGAGAAGGAGUUAAGAAGCAAGUGCUAUUUUCAUGGUUCUACAAUUUAUCACUAUAGGAUGAAGCACUUCUCCAGCUUCCAUUCUAAUGCAUGGACAAUAUGCAGAAAUUCAAUAGCUGGCACACAUACAAAAGGGGAAAAAUAAGAGCAAAUGUGACCGUAAUUUUUCCAAAUUGUAAUUUAUUAUAAUUUUUUGCCAUUAUAAUGUAUAAGAAAACACAAUGGUAUCCCUGCUUAGAGGAAGCGUAUAUAAUUUGCCACUGUUUUUCUCCAAAAUUUUCAAUUAUUAUGUAAUAGAAUUUAAACAGACACAAAUGGCCACUAAUGGAUAUAUUAGAUUUGGCACUGUAUUUUUCUAGAUUUUAAAUUAUUAAAUAAUGGAAUUCAAGCA